rnacentral:ncRNA from 1 species
AAUCGUUGUUGGCAAACCUGAUGUGAGUCAGGGACGCAAAGCCAGGAGCUUUCUGCUUUAUUUCCUGCAAGCAGAAGGUAGUUCGGCUGCAAUA